AAAGGAAAUUGAAGAAUUUGAAAGCAACUCUUUGAAAUACCUACAACCGGAACAAAUAGAAAAAAUAUGGCUUCGUCUCAGAGGAUUCCCUGCAUUGGGAGUUCCCUUUCCAUGGAUUCAUCAAUAGCAUCACAACUUCAGCCAUGUGGAUAUUGUCAAUUUUGGGGUGUUUCCCACAGGAUUGGCUACCUGCCAGAAGUGAGAUUAACAAUUUCAGGACAAACACUGCACAAUCAAUCCUGCCCAUUUGCCAUACCCACACCAACCACCAUAAGUAAAUGAAGUGCUCAAUUUCUGGAUUGUUUGUAGGAUAAAUGAUAAUGGCUAUUGAUUAGGUGAUAACUUAUCACAAUGUAUGUGCCACUUCUUGGUAUGUUGGUUGAGAGAACCUGUACAGAUGACAGCAAUAUGAUAGAUUAAUUCUGUCUCUUGUCCUGUUUAGCUAUAUUAUAGUGAUUAUUUUGCAACAUCAUGGACAAUGUGUGGUAGAAUAUAUAAUAAAAUAACUCACUGUGUGCA